rnacentral:rRNA from 1 species
UUUAUGGAGAGUUUGAUCCUGGCUCAGGAUGAACGCUGGCGGCGUGCCUAAUACAUGCAAGUCGAGCGAACAGAUAAGGAGCUUGCUCCUUUGACGUUAGCGGCGGACGGGUGAGUAACACGUGGGUAACCUACCUAUAAGACUGGAAUAACUCCGGGAAACCGGGGCUAAUGCCGGAUAACAUUUAGAACCGCAUGGUUCUAAAGUGAAAGAUGGUUUUGCUAUCACUUAUAGAUGGACCCGCGCCGUAUUAGCUAGUUGGUAAGGUAACGGCUUACCAAGGCAACGAUACGUAGCCGACCUGAGA